GACGAACGCUGGCGGCGGGCUUAACACAUGCAAGUCGAACGGAAAGGCCCUGCUUGUGUGGGGUUCUCGAGUGGCGAACGGGGGAGUAAGACGUGAGUAACGUGCUCUUGACUUUGGGGUAACUUCAGGAAACUGGGGCUAAUACCGUAUCGCAUCUGCUGUUGCAUGGUGGGGGUUGGAACGUUUCGGCCGGUGGGGAUGGACUCGCGGCUUAUCAGCUUGUUGGUGGGGUAGUCGCUUACCAAGGCUUUGAAGGAUAGCCGGCCUGUGAGGGUGACCGGCGACCAUGGGCCUGCGGUACGGCCCAGAGUCCUACGGGAGGCAGCAGUCGCGAGUAUUGCCCAGUCAGCGCACGUCUGAUGAAACAACCUUCCGUUCGGGAUGACGGCCUUCGGGUUGUGAAACGCUUCAGCCUGUGACGAAGCGUGAGUGACGGUACUGAGUAAAGAAGCACCGGCUAACUACGUG
rnacentral:rRNA from 1 species